UUGUUGGUAAGGUAAAAGCUUACCAAGGCUUCGAUCAGUAGCUGGUCUGAGAGGACGACCAGCCACACUGGGACUGAGACACGGCCCAGACUCCUACGGAAGGCAGCAGUGGGGAAUUUUGGACAAUGGGGGCAACCCUGAUCCAGCCAUGCCGCGUGAGUGAAGAAGGCCUUCGGGUUGUAAAGCUCUUUCAGCCGGAACGAAACGGUUACGGAUAACACCCGUGACUACUGACGGUACCGGAAGAAGAAGCACCGGCUAACUACGUGCCAGCAGCCGCGGUAAUACGUAGGGUGCGAGCGUUAAUCGGAAUUACUGGGCGUAAAGCGUGCGCAGGUGGUUUUGUAAGUCAGAUGUGAAAGCCCCGGGCUCAACCUGGGAACUGCGUUUGAAACUACAAGACUAGAGUGUGGCAGAGGGGGGUGGAAUUCCGCGUGUAGCAGUGAAAUGCGUAGAGAUGUGGAGGAACACCGAUGGCGAAGGCAGCCCCCUGGGUCAACACUGACGCUCAGGCACGAAAGCAUGGGGAGCAAACAGGAUUAGAUACCCUGGUAGUCCAUGCCCUAAACGAUGUCAACUAGUUGUCGGGCCUUUACGGGCUUGGUAACGUAGCUAACGCGUGAAGUUGACCGCCUGGGGAGUACGAUCGCAAGAUUAAAACUCAAAUGAAUUGACGGGGACCCGCACAAGCGGUGGAUUAUGUGGAUUAAUUCGAUGCAACGCGAAAAACCUUACCUACCCUUGACAUGUAUCGAAGCCCGCAGAAAAGCGGGGGUGCCCGAAAGGGAACGAUAACACAGGUGCUGCAUGGCUGUCGUCAGCUCGUGUCGUGAGAUGUUGGGUUAAGUCCCGCAACGAGCGCAACCCUUGUCAUUAAUUGCCAUCAUUUAGUUGGGCACUUUAAUGAGACUGCCGG
rnacentral:rRNA from 1 species